rnacentral:rRNA from 1 species
CGACCAGACUCCUACGGGAGGCAGCAGUGGGGGAUAUUGCACAAUGGGGGGAACCCUGAUGCAGCGACGCCGCGUGGGUGAAGGAGCGUUUCGGCGCGUAAAGCCCUAUCAGCAGGGAAGAAGAAAGACGGUACCUGACUAAGAAGCCCCGGCUAACUACGUGCCAGCAGCCGCGGUAAUACGUAGGGGGCAAGCGUUAUCCGGAUUUACUGGGUGUAAAGGGAGCGUAGGCGGUAAUGCAAGUCAGAAGUGAAAGCCCGGGGCUCAACUCCGGGACUGCUUUUGAAACUGUGUUGCUAGAUUGCAGGAGAGGUAAGUGGAAUUCCUAGUGUAGCGGUGAAAUGCGUAGAUAUUAGGAGGAACACCAGUGGCGAAGGCGGCCUGCUGGGCUUUAACUGACGCUGAGGCUCGAAAGCGUGGGGAGCAAACAGGAUUAGAUACCCUUGUA